UGAAAAUGUUUCCAAGAAAAUUCAUUCUACUCUUAUUACUAACAUCAUCAGAAAGGACUUUUGAACAGUUAAAAAUGUCAAUGAAUUGUUUGAGAAGCUGGAAGUAAUGCCUUUGGAAGUGUUCAAGUAAAGGAACCUAAUUUAACACAGCUUAGCAUUUGAAGAAGACUAAGAUUUGUUUGUUCAAAUAAACAGGGAAGUGUAAAGCCAGUGGGGAUCAUAUGACCAAGGCAGUGAAACAAGGGCUUCAUGAUAAAUAUGCCAUGGACAAAGGUCAAGCAAAGGAUAAUAACUCAAUUCCUUAAAUGAAAGCUUCAAAGUAAAUCUUCUGUGUUUAACAGCAGUAUACAGGGGUCAAGAUUACAAUGUCCCAGACUAGAGAAUAAAAUGUGUGUUAAUA